CCUCUCAACAACCACCUCCACCUGCCACUACCUAUUUCCACCACCACCACCACCCACCACUUACAACCAGCCACCACCACCGGUUCACCACCACCAGCCGACCAACACAACGCAGCCCAUGCCCUCUCUCUAAACCCUCAAACAACCCCAACACCACCCUCUGACAUCACAUUGUUCACUAUCUCCCACCCACAUCCCAAUCGUUCACCGCCUCCCACCCACACCGCCUAACGCCGUCGUUCACCACCUCCCACCCACACCGCCUAACCCCCGUCGUUCACCCCCAAAUCUUGGACUUAAUCUGCAGAUCGGGAAGGGAGAUUCUAGGGUUUCAUGUUCGCAAAACUCAAUUAACACAUCACGUUACGACUUUAACUACCAAAUUACUUAUCAAGAUCAUGGAACGAUACAGAUCCCCAAAUGAUAACUCACUGUACGGAUAAUCGUAGAAAUAUAGUUUGUUCGUUGAGAAUUUCCGUUGCUUGACGCGUUGAAUCAGAAGAAGAUUGUUGGAGAACUUGUUCGUUCAGAAUUAAUAUUAAUAUUUUAUGAAUUAUGAAUCAUUGAAUGUGAUGAAUUUGCAGUCUGGAAGAUUCUUAAUUUUGAUGUUGCUCGAUGUGGUGGCUGUGAUACGGUGA
rnacentral:lncRNA from 1 species